GUGCUUGCUUCAGCAUUACAUGUACUGAAAUUGGAACAGUACAGAAAAAAUUAGCAUGGCCCCUGCACAAGGAUGACACACAAAUUGGUGAAGCAUUCCAUAUUUUU